CUGAGCUACUUUCUCCGUUCUUUCUCAAACCGAAACCCCUAUCAAAAAUCUAAUCUUACCAAAGUGUUCACCUCUUCCUCCUCUUCAUUUCUAUGUCACUUUUCAUGGAGUAAAUCAAGGAUCUCUUAUUCAAUCACCAAAAGCUCCAAGAAAACGUGAUUUCUAGUUACCUUAAGGCGUAAAAGUGCUUCUGGAAGCUUGUUUUUGGUGCAAUCUCGGACAGCAGCAAAGGAG